AACGCGUGCUUUCAGACGGUGAGCAUGUGGAUAACGGGCUGGCGGCUACCGGCUUGGCUGCCUCUGCGGCGCCGGAGAGGACAGUGCGCAACGAGAACGAAAUUUUUUCUGAAGCACCAGCGAAUCCAGACUAAACGAGUUUAGCAUGCUACAGCAACAUGGAAUUUCUGAAGGUUAAUGUGCAAAAUGCUAGACAAUUUUUGUCACCGUAUUAAUCGUUAAGAAGCACUUAUGAAUGUUGCCGUAGACGAGAAUAUAACUAGAGAUUCUGUGACACCACACGUACGAAAUUUCUCAUCUGAAAGUAUAAAUGGAGAAUGAAGCACAUGAACUGUCAGUCUUUGGACUCAACAUGUCUUCAGCUUCGAGGUCUUUAGCUGUUAAUUAUUAUCAGAAUCCCACCUCUGUGAGACAAGGCGUUACCGCUGCCUUGUUGCCAGAAGUAUCUAUAUGUUUGAUGCAUAACUACACGAAAUUUAAUUUAAUCUGGCUUUACCUGCAUAUGGAUUCAACUUCUUGCUCUUAGGUAACCAAUGCACAUGAAAUGAAGAAACAACCAACGCUUUGCAUGGACAAGAACAGAAAACUGGCUAAAAAGAGUGCAUCUGACUGGUGUACGAAACAGUCUCCCAGUAAAGUGUCCUGAUUCAGCUCCGUCUUCCCUCUCUUAGCCACCAUGGUACGUUUUACUCAAUAUGAGGAGAAAUGACGAAACAGUCGACGCCUUGCAUUAAGAAGUGUGAAAAACUGCCUAAAGGGAGAGAAUAAUUCUCUGACCGGUGCAAAAAAUAGUCUCCCAGUAAUAUUCCCUGAUCCGGCUCUGGCUUCCUUGUCUGUAGCGUUAGCAAGGAUGCAAUGUGUCCACAACAU